rnacentral:rRNA from 1 species
CCCUCCUCAGCGCGCCCCAGUGCGGCCCCCAUUUCCUGGACCGGGUCCACCAAGAGCUGCUCGGCACACGUAUCCCCUCGUCCUAGGCAGAAGAUCGUCUCCUUUUUGCUCUUCCCACACCUCUCGCUCCAGCGACGGCCUCGAGACGGCCUCGCUCCAACUAAACCACAACGCAAAAGUCCAGGCCCAUAACCCAACGACCUCCUUCCCUCCUCCGCAACCGUGUCACGACGUCCUCGACCAGUCGACGAGUGCACUUCUUAGAGACGACGAGUGUACCUCCGUGAAAAAAAGAAAGAAAACGGCUACCUCCGUGGCCCACUUCGUGGGCACUGAAAAGCCCUCGCCAAUAAAGAAGCUUCGUGGCCGACCGUGGCCUUCGUUUACAAACGAAGAGGGGGGGAAAGAUUCGUGGGCACGUCAGGUUAGAACUUUUUUUUUGGCCCAAAAAAAGAGACCGUGGACAGAUUCGUGGACGGCAACAUGUCCCGGAAUCU